rnacentral:rRNA from 1 species
GUAGGGAAUAUUGGACAAUGGGCGGAAGCCUGAUCCAGCCAUGCCGCGUGGAGGAUGACUGCCCUCUGGGUUGUAAACUCCUUUUGUACAGGAAGAAACCUCCUCAUUUAUGAGUGAGCUGACGGUACUGUAAGAAUAAGCACCGGCUAACUCCGUGCCAGCAGCCGCGGUAAUACGGAGGGUGCAAGCGUUAUCCGUAUUCACUGGGUUUAAAGGGUGCGAAGGCGGUUUUAUAAGUCAGUGGUGAAAUCAACGGGCUCAACCUGUUAACUGCCAUUGAUACUGUAGGACUUGAAUAUGAGAGAGGUAGGCGGAAUGUUGCAUGUAGCGGUGAAAUGCUUAGAUAUGCUACGGAACACCGAUUGCGAAGGCAGCUUACUGAACCAUUAUUGACGCUGGGGCACGAAAGCGUGGGGAGCGAACAGGAUUAGAAACCCUUGUAGUCC